AACAGGAGACUGAAAGUCAUGCCAUUCAUUUCUGUGAAGAGUCUUCUUCUCCCAAAUAUGGACUUGAUCACGCAUCCCUAGACCCAGCAGUUUACACUAUCAGGAACACAAUACAAGAUGCUGUACACAAGGUGAAUGUAAAGUCCUCCGGUAAAAGCUUUCAGGAUCAGAGAUCUGUGAGAGCAAGUCUACAAUUUGGAUGGAAAGAGAAGGACAGUGUCUCUCCUGGAGGGAAUGUGACCCUGCAGACCGAGUUACAGGAGC